UACGUAGGGGGCUAGCGUUGUCCGGAAUCAUUGGGCGUAAAGCGCGCGUAGGCGGUCAGGUAAGUCCGGUGUGAAAGUCAAAGGCUCAACCUUUGAAUGCCGCUGGAUACUGCCUGACUUGAGUCCGGAAGGGGCGAGUGGAAUUCCUGGUGUAGCGGUGAAAUGCGCAGAUAUCAGGAAGAACACCCGUGGCUAAGGCGGCUCUCUAGUACGGUACUGACACUGAGACGCGAAAGCGUGGGGAGCGAACAGG
rnacentral:rRNA from 1 species